CAUUCUCACUCCCAACCUAGACAGAACGACGCAUCUGAGAGAAGGCUUCUUCUCCAUUUCCAUCAAAAACCAAGAACAUACCCUGUUCUUCCAAGAGAACAAACGUCACUCCUCUACCCUCUCUUCACCCUCUCACUCAUACACACCCCUACCCUCACGCACAUAAAAACUCAUCCAACAGAUUCCCACAAGCAUUCGAAAAACAAGAGCUAAAAGAAAAAAAAACAAAAGCAAUGUUUUCUGCAAAUUUGAAGAAGAAAGAAGAAGAAAAGGUGAAGAAGAACUGAUUUUAAAGCAUCAUUUCUUUCUUUUUCGGGUGUCUGAAAGAUAUUUUGGAGCCGUGGAAUUGUCGCUCGUUGUCCGCUGAUUUGCGUUGUUGUUGCACUACUGUCUCUGCUGUUUGCUCUCAAAAAUCGCAGCUGAAUCCCCUUCAGCGCUAUUUCUGCCACUCAAUCGGCUGUUUCAAGGUUUAUUUGUCGAAGUAAUUAUAGAUAAAAGGUCAAUCAAUGAACUCUUGACUAUAUAUGUUCAAGAAGAAGAGAGGUUGAAGCACGAGACACCUGAGAGUAUUCAUUUGGUGACUCAUAAUAAGAGUAAUGCAAAGAAUGCCAAAAGUGUUCCCAAGAAGAAGAAAAGCACCUUUGACAAAGAUGCUUGCCAUUUCUGUAAGAAGAAGGGACAUUGGAAGAAAGAUUGCCUGAAAUACAAGAAAUGACUUGAGAAGAAAGAAUUUUCAGAUGAAGGAUAGACGCCUCUUAUGUCAUUGGCAUAGAGAUUCAUAGAGAUAGAUCCCAAAGAUUACUUGGACUGUCUCAAAGGGCCUACAUUGAAAGAAUUCUGGAAAGAUUUGGGAUGAAGAAUUGUUCACCUAUAGCAGCACCCAUAAUUAAAGGUGACAAAUUCUUAUUGAAUCAAUGUCCACAAAAUGCAUUGGAAAAGGAGAAAAUGAAAGACAUUCCCUGUGCUUCGCUUGUUGGGAGCCUUCUGUAUGCACAUGUAUAUACUAGACCUAAUAUUGCUUUUGCGAUAGGAAUUCUUGGCAGAUAUCAAAGUAACUCUGGUCUUGACCAUUGGAAAGCGGGUAAAAGGUUUUGAGAUAUUUUCAAGGAACCAACAAUUUUAAGCUCACAUACAAAUACUCUGACUCAUUGGAAGUGAUUGGAUAUUCCGACUCUGUUUUGGGUGGAUGCAAAGACAAUGGUAAUUCUACUUCAGGAUACAUUUCCUUCUUGCUAGAGAUGUUGUGACUUGGAGAAGUAUCAAGCAGACAAUUGUUGCAACAUCAACUAUGGAAGCUGAAUUUAUAAUAUGCUAUGAAGCUACAUCACAGACGUUAUGGUUGAAGAACUUUAUUUCCGGCUUUAGGAUUGUCGAUUCCAUUUCAAGGCCAUUGUGAAUCUUUUGUGACAAUUCAGCUGCAGUGUUUUUCUUUAAGAACAAUAAAAGUGGCAGCCGAAGCAAGUACAUCGACAUAAAGUAAUUGAUAGUUAGAGACUAUGUGAAGAAGCAAGAUGUGAAUUUUGAGCAUGUUAGUACUAACUACUUUGAUGAUUGUUGAUCCUAUGACUAAAGGUCUACCGGCUAAUAUUUUCAAGGAUCAUGUAACUUAUAUGGGGCUUAGUAGCUCAAUGUAGUCUUGCUUUGCUCUCUAACAGUUUAUCUAAAUAUUAUGUUUAUUUUGAUAUACAUGAUAGUGCACACUUAGUUUUUUAUGUAUUAUUUUGUGAUCAUUGGAUCAAUAAAUUUGGACUCUGAAUGACUAUAUUAAGUU